GUUUAAAAUGAUGCAGGACCAGCCCAAUCCCGUCGGAUCUCGAAAGCUAAGCAGGGCCGGCCUGGUUAGUACUUGGAUGGGAGACCAGCUAGGAAGACCAGGUUCUGUAAGCA
rnacentral:rRNA from 1 species